rnacentral:lncRNA from 1 species
GUUGGGGAGUAAUGGUUUGCCCCAUGACCUCUCUUGCCAUAAGAAUCUAAAAGAACUGUUUGGUUUUUAGUUUGGUUAGCCUUCUCCUUGUUGUUAGGAUGAAGUGCUGACUCCCAAGCUUCGUGCUUGCUGGACUGGAAAUUGGAAGUCUGCCUGCCAGUUUUAAGAACCUAAAAAGUGAUGAACUGAAAAUGUCAGCCUGAGCUGACCAGCGCUUAUCCUCAUGUGACCUUGGGUGAAUUAAUGGACAUCUCUGAACCUCCAUUUUCUCCUGUGUAAAAUAGCAGCUGCAGCAAAAAUGAAAUAUCAAUAAUCUCUGAAAAGAAUUUAGCUCAGUGUUUGGUGAAGAUUGCCUCUCCUGAAGUCUAGAAAAG